rnacentral:rRNA from 1 species
AGACCCGAAACCCGGUGAUCUAGCCAUGGGCAGGUUGAAGGUUGGGUAACACUAACUGGAGGACCGAACCGACUAAUGUUGAAAAAUUAGCGGAUGACCUGUGGCUGGGGGUGAAAGGCCAAUCAAACCGGGAGAUAGCUGGUUCUCCCCGAAAGCUAUUUAGGUAGCGCCUCGUGAAUUCAUCUCCGGGGGUAGAGCACUGUUUCGGCUAGGGGGUCAUCCCGACUUACCAACCCGAUGCAAACUGCGAAUACCGGAGAAUGUUAUCACGGGAGACACACGGCGGGUGCUAACGUCCGUCGUGAAGAGGGAAACAACCCAGACCGCCAGCUAAGGUCCCAAAGUCAUGGUUAAGUGGGAAACGAUGUGGGAAGGCCCAGACAGCCAGGAUGUUGGCUUAGAAGCAGCCAUCAUUUAAAGAAAGCGUAAUAGCUCACUGGUCGAGUCGGCCUGCGCGGAAGAUGUAACGGGGCUAAACCAUGCACCGAAGCUGCGGCAGCGACACUGUGUGUUGUUGGGUAGGGGAGCGUUCUGUAAGCCUGUGAAGGUGGCCUGUGAGGGUUGCUGGAGGUAUCAGAAGUGCGAAUGCUGACAUAAGUAACGAUAAAGCGGGUGAAAAGCCCGCUCGCCGGAAGACCAAGGGUUCCUGUCCAACGUUAAUCGGGGCAGGGUGAGUCGACCCCUAAGGCGAGGCCGAAAGGCGUAGUCGAUGGGAAACGGGUUAAUAUUCCCGUACUUGGUGUUACUGCGAAGGGGGGACGGAGAAGGCUAUGUUGGCCGGGCGACGGUUGUCCCGGUUUAAGCGUGUAGGUGUGUGUUCCAGGUAAAUCCGGUUCACUUUAACACUGAGGCGUGACGACGAGGCACUACGGUGCUGAAGCAACAAAUGCCCUGCUUCCAGGAAAAGCCUCUAAGCAUCAGGUAACAUCAAAUCGUACCCCAAACCGACACAGGUGGUCAGGUAGAGAAUACCAAGGCGCUUGAGAGAACUCGGGUGAAGGAACUAGGCAAAAUGGUGCCGUAACUUCGGGAGAAGGCACGCUGACACGUAGGUGAAGUGAUUUACUCA